UACGUAGGGUGCGAGCGUUGCCCGGAUUUAUUGGGCGUAAAGGGCGCGCAGGCGCUACGCACGUCCGUUGUGAAAUCGCUCGGCUCAACUGGGCGGGGUCAGCGGAUACGGCGUAGCUGGAGCAAGCUAGGGGGCAAUGGAAUUCCCGGUGUAGUGGUGGAAUGCGUAGAUAUCGGGAGGAACACCAGUGGCGAAGGCGGUUGCCUGGAGCUUUGCUGACGCUGAGGCACGAAAGCGUGGGGAGCAAACAGG
rnacentral:rRNA from 1 species